AGGUCAAGCGAACAAGGGCGCAGGGCGAAUGCCUUGGCACUGGGAGCCGAUGAAAGACGUGAUAAGCUGCGAUAAGCUUCGGGGAGCUGCAAAUAAGCAUUGAUCCGGAGAUUUCUGAAUGAGGAAACUUACCUGGGUUCAUACUCAGGUACAAUGCACUGAAAUUUAAAAUAGGUGUAUUGAGGGAACCGCCUGAACUGAAACAUCUAAGUAGGGCGAGGAAGAGACAUCAAACGAGAUUCCGUAAGUAGUGGCGAGCGAACGCGGAAGAGGGCAAACCGAGAGUAGAAAUACUUUCGGGGUACGGACUGCUUUUAAGACUCAAUCUGUUAACCGAACGGCAUGGGAAGGCCGGUCAGAGAGUGUGAGAACCACGUAGGUGAAAACGGAGAGAGCUGCGCAGGAUCCAGAGUACGGCCAGACACGUGAAACCUGGUCGGAAUACGGGGGGACCACCCUCCAACCCUAAAUACUACCCAGUGACCGAUAGCGUAUAGUACUGUGAAGGAAAGGUGAAAAGCACCCCGGGAGGGGAGUGAAAAAGAACCUGAAACCCUGUGCCUACAAGCACCUAGAGCACGUCAAUGUGUGAUAGGGUACUUUUUGUAGAACGGUCCGGCGAGCGAUUGUAUGCAGCAAGGUUAAGGACUUAAGGUCUGGAGCCGAAGCGAAAGCGAGUUUGAAAAGGGCGUUAAGUUGCAUAUAAUGGGCCCGAAACCGGGUGACCUACCCAUGGUCAGGUUGAAGUGGAAGUAAAAUUCCAUGGAGGACCGAACCGACCUCCGUUGAAAAGGCGGCGGAUGAACUGUGGGUAGCGGAGAAAUUCCAAUCGAACCCGGAGAUAGCUGGUUCUCCCCGAAAUAGUUUUAGGACUAGCCUCAAGUUAGAUACCUGGAGGUAAAGCACUGAAUAGCCUAGCGGCCGAGAGGUUAGCGAAGCUUAUCAAACUCAGAAUGCCAGAGUAUUGAUGCUUGGGAGUCAGACAGUGUCAGAUAAAUGUCAUUGUCAAAAGGGAAACAGCCCAGAUCUACAGCUAAGGUCCCAAAGUCAGGUUAAGUGGAAAACGAUGUGAAGAUACGCAGACAACCAGGAUGUUGGCUCAGAAGCAGCCACUCAUUCAAAGAGUGCGUAAUAGCUCACUGGUCGAGCGUCUUUGCGCGGAGAAUUUAACGGGGCUAAACCUGACACCGAAGCUUAGGCAAUACAGUAAUGUAUUGGGUAGGGGAGCGUUGUAUACGCGGAGAAACAGUAGCGUAAGCGGCUGUGGAGUGUAUAGAAGUGAGAAUGCCGGAAUGAGUAGCGCGAAUGCAGUGAGAAUCUGCAUGGCCGAAAGCCUCAGGUUUCUGGAGGAAGGUUCGUCCGCUCCAGGUUAGUCGGGAGCUAAGGUGAGGCCGGAAGGCGUAGCCGAUGCACAGACGGUAGAGAUUCCGUCACCACCAAAAGAGUUAAGCACAGGGACACAUAUGAAGUCUCAGAGCCGGGUGUUGGUUCCGGUAGAGAUCGAGGGAAAUUAGUACCGAAGUCUGAGAUGGAAGAUGGCGAGAAAAGCUGUGUGUAUUUCUGAGGUGCCCGUACCGCAAACCGACACAGGUAGGUAGGAAGAAGAUUCUAAGGCCAACGGGAGAAGGGUUGUUAAGGAACUCGGCAAAUUGACCCCGUAACUUCGGGAGAAGGGGUGCUCCAGAGAUGGAGCCGCAGAGAAUCGGCCCAAGCAACUGUUUACCAAAAACACAGGUUUGUGCUAAAUCGAAAGAUGACGUAUACGAGCUGACGCCUGCCCGGUGCUGGAAGGUUAAGAGGAGAUGUGCAAGCAUUGAAUCGAAGCCCCAGUGAACGGCGGCCGUAACUAUAACGGUCCUAAGGUAGCGAAAUUCCUUGUCAGGUAAGUUCUGACCCGCAUGAAAGGCGUAAUGAUUUGGGCACUGUCUCAACAGCCCGCCCGGCGAAAUUGUAGUACCGGUGAAGAUGCCGGUUACCCGCGACAAGACGGAAAGACCCCAUGGAGCUUUACUGUAGCCUAAUAUUGGGUUUCGAUGUUGCAUGCACAGGAUAGAUGGGACUCUUGGAAACCAAGGCUUUGGCUUUGGCGGAGAGGCCGUUGGGAUACCAUCCUUGCGAUAUUGGAAUUCUAACCUGCGGCUCUGAAUCGAGUCGGGGGACAUUGUUAGGUGGGCAGUUUGACUGGGGCGGUCGCCUCCUAAAGAGUAACGGAGGCGUUCAAAGGUUCGCUCAGCUUGAACGGAAAUCAAGCAAAAGAGUGCAAACGCAGAAGCGAGCCUAACUGCGAGACUGACGGGUCGAGCAGUAACGAAAGUUGGAGUUAGUGAUCCGGUGGUAUGUGAGUGGAAAUGCCAUCGCUCAACGGAUAAAAGUUACCCUGGGGAUAACAGGCUGAUCUCCCCCAAGAGUCCACAUCGACGGGGAGGUUUGGCACCUCGAUGUCGGCUCAUCGCAUCCUGGGGCUGUAUUCGGUCCCAAGGGUUUGGCUGUUCGCCAAUUAAAGCGGUACGCGAGCUGGGUUCAGAACGUCGUGAGACAGUUCGGUCCCUAUCUGUCGUGGGCGCAGGAUAUUUGAUGGGAGCUGUCCCUAGUACGAGAGGACCGGGACGGACGUACCUCUGGCGCACCAGUUGUUCCGCCAGGAGCAUAGCUGGGCAACUACGUACGGAUCGGAUAAACGCUGAAAGCAUCUAAGCGUGAAGCCGACCCAAAGAUAAGAUAUCCCACUGAUUUGAUCAGGUAAGAUCCCUUGUAGACUACGAGGUUGAUAGGCACGAUGUGUAAGUGGAGUGAUCCAUUCAGCAAGUGUGUACUAAUAGAUCGAGGGCUUGACCACA
rnacentral:rRNA from 1 species